rnacentral:rRNA from 1 species
CCUACGGGGGGCUGUAGUGGGGGAUAUUGCACAAUGGGGGAAACCCUGAUGCAGCGACGCCGCGUGUGGGAAGACGGUCCUCUGGAUUGUAAACCACUGUCCCCAGGGACGAAGAUGACGGUACCUGGGGAGGAAGCUCCGGCUAACUACGUGCCAGCAGCCGCGGUAAUACGGAGGGUGCAAGCGGUGUCCGGAAUUACUGGGGGAAAAGGGAGCGUAGGCGGGAUGGCAAGUUGGGUGUUAAAUCUACCGGCAAAACUGGUAGUCUCACUCAAAACUGCUAUUCUUGAGUGAAGUAGAGGCAGGCGGAAUUCCUAGUGUAGCGGUGAAAUGCGUAGAUAUUAGGAGGAACACCAGUGGCGAAGGCGGCCUGCUGGGCUUUUACUGACGCUGAGGCUCGAAAGUGUGGGGAGCAAACAGGAUUAGAUACCCCUGUAGUC